UUUAUUUUAAUUAAGUAUUUUAUGUAUUUUAGGGGCAUCAUAGUCAUUUCAUAAUAAACGAGAGAUCAGACGGCAAAACGGACAUCACUUUUGAACUCAGGACGGUCGAAAACCUUAGGAGGAGCAUAAAAGGAAAAACGGCACUGUUCACAUGUACGAUACUAUUCACGUGUACGGUACUGUCUACGUUACUGUUCACAUAGACGGAUCGAUGAUGUGGCAGUAACUGAUGAGGUGUCACGAUCCUGUUGGACUAAAAUUCUUAUGUACUGUUGAUGGUGACGUGGCAGCAUAUCAGUGGACCAAAAAUCUCGCGUACGGUACAUGCAUCACACAAGAUUAUUUUCAACCAAACCGUGUCACUGUUCAACCCGGGUCAAACCGUGUUACUGUUCAUCCAUGUGGUCAAACCGUGUACUGUUGACUGAUGACGUGGCGCAAUCCUGAGCGUCCAAACUGUUUUUAAUCCGAUGGCCAUGAUUUACUCCAUGUAUCUAUAAAAAGGGGGCCUCUC
rnacentral:lncRNA from 1 species